rnacentral:rRNA from 1 species
AGUGAACGCUGGCGGCGUGCUUAACACAUGCAAGUCGAACGGUAACAGGAAGUAGCUUGCUACUUUGCUGACGAGUGGCGCACGGGUGAGUAAACUAUAGUUAAUGUACCCCAAAGACUGGGAUAGCCACUGGAAACGGUGAUUAAUACUAGAUACACCUUCAUAUCAUAAGGUAUGAAGGGAAAUGUCUUUUCGCUUUGGGAUCAGACUAUAUCCUAUCAGUUAGUUGGUGAGGUAAUGGCUCACCAAGGCAAUGACGGGUAGCGGUUCUGAGAGGAUGAUCCGCCACACUGGUACUGAGACACGGACCAGACUCCUACGGGAGGCAGCAGUGAGGAAUAUUGCACAAUGGGGGGAACCCUGAUGCAGCAACGCCGCGUGGAGGAUGACGCAUUUCGGUGUGUAAACUCCUUUUAUAUGUCAAGAAAUGACGGUAGCAUAUGAAUAAGCACCGGCUAACUCCGUGCCAGCAGCCGCGGUAAAG